rnacentral:rRNA from 1 species
UACGUAGGGUGCGAGCGUUGUCCGGAAUUAUUGGGCGUAAAGGGCUCGUAGGCGGUCUGUCGCGUCUGCUGUGAAAACCCGGAGCUCAACUCCGGGCCUGCAGUCGAUACGGGCAAACUGGAGUGUUGCAGGGGAGACUGGAAUUCCUGGUGUAGCGGUGAAAUGCGCAGAUAUCAGGAGGAACACCGGUGGCGAAGGCGGGUCUCUGGGCAACAACUGACGCUGAGGAGCGAAAGCGUGGGGAGCGAACAGG